AAUUCAAGUAAAUAUUUAUCAUUCUUAUAUUACAGGAGGAGAUACGUAAAUGCUUAAGCAACGAAGGUUAUAACAAUGAUGCACAUGCGCUUCGUGUAAUGCUUAAAUAUGCAUACCAGCAGUUUACAGAGUUCAGAAGCAAGUUUAAGAGCAUGGUUUUGGAUGGCUUUAAGAACAAGCACUUUCGAACUUUGGAUGUAAAAGAUCUGUGCCAGAAACUGUUCAAACGUUAUUCUUCUGGCCAGAGUACCUGUAGUGAAGAUAGACUACACACAACUUUGAUAGUGAGGAGGUUUAUGUACAUGAGGGAGAGAGAAGGUGCAGGGGAGAGGGAGAACACUAGUUUCUGCCAGAGUUGAAAAAGUUUUGGAAGUCAGUCGAGGAGGAGCAGACAGAGGAGAAGUGGAGGGGGAUAGAGGAGAGUGACAGUCGGAGAGUUGCACGUGCACGUGCAGCCCUCCGAGACAGGGAAACUUGAAUUUAUUGUAAAAAUAGAAAAAAUACAUUGAACAUAAGA